rnacentral:rRNA from 1 species
GAUGAACGCUGGCGGCGUGCCUAAUACAUGCAAGUCGAGCGAACGGACGAGAAGCUUGCUCCUCUGAUGUUAGCGGCGGACGGGUGAGUAACACGUGGAUAACCUACCUAUAAGACUGGGAUAACUUCGGGAAACCGGAGCUAAUACCGGAUAAUAUUUUGAACCGCAUGGUUCAAAAGUGAAAGACGGUCUUGCUGUCACUUAUAGAUGGAUCCGCGCUGCAUUAGCUAGUUGGUAAGGUAACGGCUUACCAAGGCAACGAUGCAUAGCCGACCUGAGAGGGUGUUCGGCCACACUGGAACUGAGACACGGUCCAGACUCCUACGGGAGGCAGCAGUAGGGAAUCUUCCGCAAUGGGCGAAAGCCUGACGGAGCAACGCCGCGUGAGUGAUGAAGGUCUUCGGAUCGUAAAACUCUGUUAUUAGGGAAGAACAUAUGUGUAAGUAACUGUGCACAUCUUGACGGUACCUAAUCAGAAAGCCACGGCUAACUACGUG